GGUCAAGUGAAUAAGCGCAUACGGUGGAUGCCUAGGCGGUGAGAGGCGAUGAAGGACGUGGUAGCCUGCGAAAAGCGUCGGGGAGCUGGCAAACAAGCUAUGAUCCGGCGGUGUCCGAAUGGGGCAACCCACCUGGUUUACCAGGUAUUGUCAUCUGAAUCCAUAGGGUGGCAAGGCGAACCCGGGGAACUGAAACAUCUCAGUACCCGGAGGAAAAGAAAUCAACCGAGAUUCCCUUAGUAGUGGCGAGCGAACGGGGAGCAGCCCUUAAGCGGUUAAAACUCUAGUAGAACGGUCUGGAAAGUCCGGCCAUAGACGGUGAUAGCCCGGUACACGAAAGAGUUUUAAUCGUGAAAUCGAGUAAGGCGGGGCACGUGAAACCCUGUCUGAACAUGGGGGGACCAUCCUCCAAGGCUAAAUACUACUCACCGACCGAUAGUGAACCAGUACCGUGAGGGAAAGGCGAAAAGAACCGAGGUGAUCGGAGUGAAAUAGAACCUGAAACCGUAUGCGUACAAGCAGUGGGAGCACCCUUCGGGGUGUGACUGCGUACCUUUUGUAUAAUGGGUCAGCGAGUUACUUUCAGUGGCGAGCUUAACCGACUAGGGGAGGCGUAGCGAAAGCGAGUCUGAAUAGGGCGUUAAGUCGCUGGGAGUAGACCCGAAACCGAGCGAGCUAGCCAUGGCCAGGCUGAAGGUGCGGUAACACGCGCUGGAGGGCCGAACCGGGAUCUGUUGAAAAAGAUUCGGAUGAGCUGUGGCUAGGAGUGAAAGGCUAAACAAGCUCGGAGAUAGCUGGUUCUCCUCGAAAGCUAUUUAGGUAGCGCCUCGUGUAUCACUUCCGGGGGUAGAGCACUGUUUCGGCUAGGGGGUCGUCUAGAUCUACCAAACCGAUGCAAACUCCGAAUACCGGAAAGUGCAGCACGGGAGACAGACGGCGGGUGAUAACGUUCGUCGUCAAAAGGGAAACAACCCAGACCGCCAGCUAAGGUCCCCAAAUCAUGGCUCAGUGGAAAACGAUGUGGGAAGGCCCAGACAGCCAGGAGGUUGGCUUAGAAGCAGCCAUCCUUUAAAGAAAGCGUAAUAGCUCACUGGUCGAGUCGGCCUGCGCGGAAGAUUCAACGGGGCUAAGCCAUGUACCGAAGCUGCGGAUUCAGCGAAAGCUGAGUGGUAGAGGAGCGUUCCGUAGGCCUGUGAAGGUCAAUCGUAAGGUUGGCUGGAGGUAUCGGAAGUGCGAAUGCUGACAUGAGUAACGAUAAUGCGGGUGAAAAACCCGCACGCCGAAAGCCCAAGGUUUCCUGCGCAACGUUAAUCGGCGCAGGGUUAGUCGGCACCUAAGGCGAGGCCGAAAGGCGUAGUCGAUGGAAAACCGGUUAAUAUUCCGGUACCGGGUGUAACUGCGAUGGGGUGACGGAGAAGGCUAGGUCAGCCGGGUGUUGGACGUCCCGGUUUAAGCGAGUAGGCAGAUCCUUUAGGCAAAUCCGGAGGGUCAAUGUCGAGACGUGA
rnacentral:rRNA from 2 species